rnacentral:rRNA from 1 species
ACGCACGCUGGCGGCAUGCCUAACCCAUGCAAGUCGAACGAGACCUUCGGGUCUAGUGGCGCACGGGUGCGUCACGCGUGGGAACCUGCCCUUAGGUUCGGAAUAACUCCCCGAAAGGGGUGCUAAUACCGGAUAAUGUCUUCGGACCAAAGAUUUAUCGCCUUUGGAUGGGCCCGCGUUGGAUUAGCUAGUUGGUAGGGUAAAAGCCUACCAAGGCGACGAUCCAUAGCUGGUCUGAGAGGAUGAUCAGCCACACUGGGACUGAGACACGGCCCAGACUCCUACGGGAGGCAGCAGUGGGGAAUAUUGGACAAUGGGCGAAAGCCUGAUCCAGCAAUGCCGCGUGAGUGAUGAAGGCCUUAGGGUUGUAAAGCUCUUUUACCCGGGAUGAUAAUGACAGUACCGGGAGAAUAAGCUCCGGCUAACUCCGUG